rnacentral:lncRNA from 1 species
CACCAAAACAGGACCCACAGUCCGUCCUUGGAGUCACACAUCUUAUUGCCAAGUGAAUAUACCUGUAAUUUUAAGAAGACAUUGAAUCAACAAUUCAAGACAGAUUCACAUUCCUCCUGUAAGUACACAUUAAAUUUUUUCUAGUUUCAAGGAGCUUUUCAGUUUUUCUUC